GACGAACCGUGCGAACGUUAUUCGGAAUCACUGGGCUUAAAGGGCGCGUAGGCGGGCGGCCAAGUCAGAGGUGAAAGCCCCCAGCUCAACUGGGGAAGUGCCUUUGAUACUGGUCGUCUCGAGGGAGAUAGGGGCGUGCGGAACUCCCGGUGGAGCGGUGAAAUGCGUAGAUAUCGGAAGGAACACCGGUGGCGAAAGCGGCGCGCUGGAUCUCUUCUGACGCUGAGGCGCGAAAGCCAGGGGAGCGAACGGG
rnacentral:rRNA from 1 species